UACGGGAGGCAGCAGUGGGGAAUAUUGCACAAUGGGCGCAAGCCUGAUGCAGCCAUGCCGCGUGUAUGAAGAAGGCCUUCGGGUUGUAAAGUACUUUCAGUCGUGAGGAAGGUGUUAAGGUUAAUAACCUUAGCAAUUGACGUUAGCGACAGAAGAAGCACCGGCUAACUCCGUGCCAGCAGCCGCGGUAAUACGGAGGGUGCGAGCGUUAAUCGGAAUUACUGGGCGUAAAGGGCACGCAGGCGGUUAAUUAAGUUGGAUGUGAAAUCCCCGGGCUUAACCUGGGAAUGGCAUUCAAGACUGGUUAGCUAGAGUCUUGUAGAGGGGGUAGAAUUCCAUGUGUAGCGGUGAAAUGCGUAGAGAUGUGGAGGAAUACCGGUGGCGAAAGGCGGCCCCUGGGACAAAGACUGACGCUCAUGUGCGAAAAGCGUGGGGAGCAAACAGGAUUAGAUACC
rnacentral:rRNA from 1 species